ensembl:rRNA 5S_rRNA 5S ribosomal RNA
GAAUAUGGCCAUACUACCCUGAACGUGCCUGAUCUUGUCUGAUCUCAGAAACCAGAGCUUUUUAAAACCAGAAGGGAUUUCAAAGGUUAUCUAAAUUAAAUUGCUUCAUUUU